AGCAGCCGCGGUAAUUCCAGCUCCAAUAGCGUAUAUUAAAGUUGUUGCAGUUAAAAAAGCUCGUAGUUGAAUUUCGGGACCAAUAUGUCGGCCGUGCUUCGGUACGUACUUGCAUUAUUGGUUUCUCCCUUCUGAAGAACCAUGAUGUCAUUAAUUUGGUGUCUUGGGGAAUCAAGACUGUUACUUUGAAAAAUUAGAGUGUUUAAAGCAGGCUCACGCUUGAAUACAUUAGCAUGGAAUAAUGAAAUAGGACGUUUGAUUCUAUUUUGUUGGUUUCUAGGAUCGACGUAAUGAUUAAUAGGGAUAGUUGGGGGCAUUAGUAUUCAAUUGUCAGAGGUUGAAAUUCUUGGAUUUAUUGAAGACUAACUACUGCGAAAGCAUUUGCCAAGGAUGUUUUCAUUAAUCAAGAACGA
rnacentral:rRNA from 1 species